AUUGAACGCUGGCGGCAUGCCUUACACAUGCAAGUCGAACGGUAACGGGCCUUCGGGUGCCGACGAGUGGCGCACGGGUGAGUAAUACAUCGGAACGUGCCCGAUCGUGGGGGAUAACGAGGCGAAAGCUUUGCUAAUACCGCAUACGAUCUACGGAUGAAAGCAGGGGACCGCAAGGCCUUGCGCGGACGGAGCGGCCGAUGGCAGAUUAGGUAGUUGGUGGGAUAAAAGCUUACCAAGCCGACGAUCUGUAGCUGGUCUGAGAGGAUGAUCAGCCACACUGGGACUGAGACACGGCCCAGACUCCUACGGGAGGCAGCAGUGGGGAAUUUUGGACAAUGGGCGCAAGCCUGAUCCAGCCAUGCCGCGUGCAGGAUGAAGGCCCUCGGGUUGUAAACUGCUUUUGUACGGAACGAAAAGCCUUCUUUUAAUACAGGAGGGUCAUGACGGUACCGUAAGAAUAAGCACCGGCUAACUACGUG
rnacentral:rRNA from 1 species